GAUGAACGCUGGCGGCGUGCCUAAUACAUGCAAGUCGAGCGAACAGACGAGGAGCUUGCUCCUCUGACGUUAGCGGCGGACGGGUGAGUAACACGUGGAUAACCUACCUAUAAGACUGGGAUAACUUCGGGAAACCGGAGCUAAUACCGGAUAAUAUAUUGAACCGCAUGGUUCAAUAGUGAAAGACGGUUUUGCUGUCACUUAUAGAUGGAUCCGCGCCGCAUUAGCUAGUUGGUAAAGUAACGGCUUACCAAGGCAACGAUGCGUAGCCGACCUGAGAGGGUGAUCGGCCACACUGGAACUGAGACACGGUCCAGACUCCUACGGGAGGCAGCAGUAGGGAAUCUUCCGCAAUGGGCGAAAGCCUGACGGAGCAACGCCGCGUGAGUGAUGAAGGUCUUCGGAUCGUAAAACUUUGUUAUUAGGGAAGAACAAAUGUGUAAGUAACUAUGCACGUCUUGACGGUACCUAAUCAGAAAGCCACGGCUAACUACGUGCCAGCAGCCGCGGUAAUA
rnacentral:rRNA from 1 species